rnacentral:lncRNA from 1 species
CUGCCAUCGUCUUGGACUUCUGCUUGCUGCUGGAGCAGCUUCUUUAUCCCAUUGUAGUCACUGUCUGAUAUGGAAUGCGCUUCAAAUUCAACAUUCACCUCCUCAUCGACCUGCUCGUCCUCCUCGGACCCUGAGUCGCCCGAUUCCGGCUCCGAGUCCGAAUCCGACUCCGAGUCCCGCUCCGGAGCUGCAGGCCGCUGCCGGGCUCUGCGCUUGGCCGGC